rnacentral:rRNA from 1 species
UACGAAGGGGGCUAGCGUUGCUCGGAAUGACUGGGCGUAAAGGGCGCGUAGGCGGAUGGUACAGUCAGAUGUGAAAUUCCCGGGCUCAACCUGGGGGCUGCAUUUGAUACGUGCUGUCUUGAGUUCGGAAGAGGGUCGUGGAAUUCCCAGUGUAGAGGUGAAAUUCGUAGAUAUUGGGAAGAACACCGGUGGCGAAGGCGGCGACCUGGUCCGAGACUGACGCUGAGGCGUGAAAGCGUGGGGAGCAAACAGG